CAGUAGCCGCGGUAAUACGAAGGGGGCUAGCGUUGUUCGGAUUAACUGGGCGUAAAGGGCGCGUAGGCGGGUUUUUAAGUCAGAGGUGAAAUCCCAAGGCUCAACCUUGGAACUGCCUUUGAUACUGGAAGUCUUGAGUCCGGGAGAGGUGAGUGGAACUGCGAGUGUAGAGGUGAAAUUCGUAGAUAUUCGCAAGAACACCAGUGGCGAAGGCGGCUCACUGGCCCGGUACUGACGCUGAGGCGCGAAAGCGUGGGGAGCAAACAGGAUUAGAUACCCGUGUAGUCCCUGUCUCUUAUAC
rnacentral:rRNA from 1 species